UACGAGGGGGGCAAGCGUUGUUCGGAUUUACUGGGCGUAAAGGGCGCGUAGGCGGCCAGACCAAGUCGAGUGUGAAAUUGCAGAGCUUAACUCUGUACGGUCACUUGAUACUGGUCGGCUAGAGUGUGGAAGAGGGUGCUGGAAUUCCCGGUGUAGCGGUGAAAUGCGUAGAGAUCAGGGGGAACACCCGUGGCGAAGGCGGCCGGCUGGGCCGACCCUGACGCUGAGGCGCGAAAGCUAGGGGAGCAAACGGG
rnacentral:rRNA from 1 species